rnacentral:rRNA from 1 species
GAUGAACGCUGACAGAAUGCUUAACACAUCCAAGUCUUUGGCGAAGCUGUGCUUGCACAGCCUAGCCAAGGCGGACGGGUGAGUAACGCGUAAGGAACUUGCCCUGCAGUCAGGGAUAACAGACGGAAACGACUGAUAAGACCUGGUAAAGUCAGGCGGACUCAUGUCCAGCCUGAUGAAAAGAGAUGCUGCAGGAGAGCCUUGCGUCCUAUUAGCUUGUUGGUGGGGUAACGGCCCACCAAGGCGAUGAUAGGUAGCCGGCCUGAGAGGGUGGACGGCCACAAGGGGACUGAGAUACGGCCCUUACUCCUACGGGAGGCAGCAGUGGGGAAUAUUGGACAAUGGGGGCAACCCUGAUCCAGCAAUUCUGUGUGCACGAUGAAGGUUUUCGGAUUGUAAAGUGCUUUCAGCAGGGAAGAAAAAAAUGACGGUACCUGCAGAAGAAGCGACGGCUAAAUACGUG